rnacentral:misc_RNA from 1 species
GAUGAAGAACGUAGCGAAAUGCGAUACGUAAUGUGAAUUGCAGAAUUCAGUGAAUCAUCGAGUCUUUGAACGCACAUUGCGCCCCCUGGUAUUCCGGGGGGCAUGCCUGUCCGAGCGUCAUUGCUGCCCUCAAGCACGGCUUGUGUGUUGGGCCUCCGUCCUCCUCCCGGGGGACGGGCCCGAAAGGCAGCGGCGGCACCGCGUCCGGUCCUCGAGCGUAUGGGGCUUCGUCACCCGCUCUUGUAGGCCCGGCCGGCGCUUGCCGACACAUCAAUCUUUUUUCCAGGUUGACCUCGGAUCAGGUAGGGAUACCCGCUGAACUUAAGCAUAUUCAAUAAGCGGAGGA